rnacentral:rRNA from 1 species
AGSCCGRCCWGCGGAUUAUUCGAUGCAACGCGAAGAACCUUACCAAGGCUUGACAUACACGAGAACGGGCCMKAAAUGGUCAACUCUUUGGACACUCGUGAACAGGUGGUGCAUGGUUGUCGUCAGCUCGUGUCGUGAGAUGUUGGGUUAAGUCCCGCAACGAGCGCAACCCUCGUUCUAUGUUGCCAGCGCGUAAUGGCGGGAACUCAUAGGAGACUGCCGGGGUCAACUCGGAGGAAGGUGGGGAUGACGUCAAAUCAUCAUGCCCCUUAUGUCUUGGGCUUCACGCAUGCUACAAUGGCCGGUACAAAGGGCUGCAAUACCGUAAGGUGGAGCGAAUCCCAAAAAGCCGGUCUCAGUUCGGAUUGAGGUCUGCAACUCGACCUCAUGAAGUCGGAGUCGCUAGUAAUCGCAGAUCAGCAACGCUGCGGUGUAUAYKUUCCCGGGCCUUGUACACACMGA